AGAGAAAGAAAGCCAUCCAAAAGCUAUAUGAGAAAAAGAGAACCGGGUUGAUCAUUCUAGCUUGACUCAAGGAAGAUCAAUUCAUGGUGGUGACCGAGAAGGAUAAGGUCCUCAAGCGAGUACUCACACGGAGAAUUAGAGUCUCCACAAGAAGUCAAAGCUAGAAGCCAAAGCAAUCUCACGUUCAAACCAUGGCCAUAGCUACAUCAUUCAACCGUGAAGACUAUACUCUUUUUCCCUUAACAAAGUUUUGUCCCAAGAGGUUUACUUUGUUAAGGUUUUUAAAGAGGUAGUCCUUUGCGUGUUGCAAGCUUGGCCUUUGGUUCCCGCUGCCCAAGCUUGAGGGGGAGUAUUAGAGAGGAAGAAGAAAAGGAGAACCUAAAGAUGAAGUCUAGAAGAAGAGGUCGAGCUUAAUGGUGUUCAAUGAAGUGUGACACUCAACAUGGCUCGUGUAUCUCCAAGCUUAACCUCCGAUGUCUCUACACUUAAGCUUGAGGGGGAGUAUUGAGACCUAAUGUGCAAAGUUAGGGUCAAAGUUAUGAAGACCUAAUGUGCAAAGUUAGGGUCAACGACUCAAGACACAAAAGUGCAAAGUUCGGGUCAAGUCAUCAAGACAAGAUACGAAUGUGCAAUGUCCGGGUCAAACAUAAGAUGUGCAAAUCUAGGGUCAACAUAUGAAGAUGAAGAUGUGCAAAACAAGGGUCAAUACAUGAAGAUAAAGAUGUGCAAAACACGGGUCAUUACAAGACCUAAUGGGCGUGCAAAACAUCUAGAAGAUCACAUGUUGUACUAAGGAAUGCAAGUGGGUGAGAAGAGUCACAUGUGAGCUUAAGAAAGGUCACAUGUGACCAAAGAGACGUUGGAGAGCUGUCACUUUCAUCCUUGGGCGCUCAAAGCUUCUUUCCCUCUCUCCUCAUGUCACUUUCACUUCAUUUGUAAAAGAGAAAACCCUAGAGCUCCUCCUCUGUAUAUUGUAGUAGCCUCCCUCCUUUGUAAGGUGCUAAUUCACAAGUUUAUACAAGUAUUUUGUUUAUCAAAUUCGUCCAUCUCUUCUCUCUACAUUUGCUUAACUAAUAAUCAUAAUGUAGAUAGCUAGAGUGUAACGAUUUAGGGGCUGCCCUUAAGGCAGCCUAAUACUUGUUAAAUACACCUUAAACUCUUCUUUAUUUACUCUUUAUUCUCUAGAUUACUGAUUCUAAUUCCUUUUUAUCUCAAGUACACAAACUCAAAGUGUUGUUGUACUAGACAAGGAUUAGUCUCACACUAGAAGCUUUCUCCUUCAUAUAAUCGAUUUACUCUCUAGUAUAUUCGGAUAUAUUGUUGGAUAUGUGUGUGGAUUCCAUCACAAGUUGAUGGUCUCUUCAUCUUAAGAUCGAGUUCCCUUAUAUGGUUAAAGAGAGAUUCAUUCACCAAGUGACUGUCUACUCUCUAUUGUGAGCUUAGUCUCAUAGAAACUAACAUGGUAUCAGAGCAAGUUGCUCUCUUGGUUCCUCAAGAACUCUAGAACUCGUUCUUAAAGCAUUCUCUUUCUUUGUUGUUUUUAAAAGUCUUUCUCUCCCACCUCUUGUUGUUGAAAGCUUGUUCUUGGUACUGUUGUAAUGCCCACGUUCAAGCUUGAGGGGGAGAGAGAUCUUUGUUUUUG
rnacentral:lncRNA from 1 species